AUACGGCCAUAUCACGUUGAAACACCUGUUCUCGCGCGAUUCCCGAAGUUAAGCAAUGUCGAACCUGGUUAGUACCGAGAUGAGCAACCGCUUGGGAAAAUCAGGUGU